rnacentral:rRNA from 1 species
GGAGGCAUCUCCUUGGUUUGAAAGCUUCGGUGGAUACGGAUGAGCUCGCGAGACAUUAGUUAGUUGGCGGGGUAACGGCCCACCAAGACCGCGAUGUCUAGGGGAACUGAGAGGUUGGUCCCCCACACUGGAACUGAGACACGGUCCAGACUCCUACGGGAGGCAGCAGUGAGGAAUAUUGGACAAUGGUCGGAAGACUGAUCCAGCCAUGCCGCGUGAAGGAUAAGGUCCUAUGGAUUGUAAACUUCUUUUGAGUGGGAGCAAUAAGGGUAUCGUGAUACCCGAUGAGAGUACCAUUCGAAUAAGCAUCGGCUAACUCCGUGCCAGCAGCCGCGGUAAUACGGAGGAUGCGAGCGUUAUCCGGAUUUAUUGGGUUUAAAGGGUGCGUAGGCGGUUUUUCAAGUCAGCGGUGAAACGCAAGGGCUCAACCCUUGACCUGCCGUUGAAACUGUUGGACUAGAAUGCGGAUGCUGUGGGAGGAAUGUGUGGUGUAGCGGUGAAAUGCAUAGAUAUCACACAGAACACCGAUUGCGAAGGCAUCUCACAAAUCCGUGAUUGACGCUGAGGCACGAAAGUGUGG